UGAAAGUGCACCGAAACGACGACGUCCCGCGCGCAGCUAUAAUAUAGCUGGCCGUUGCCGCAAGGAAAACAAAGGCGUCGCUUGCGCGGUCUCGAAGAAAUCGCGAGAAAGGAACGUUUUCCAGAGCACUUUGUGUUUU
rnacentral:lncRNA from 1 species